CAAAGUCGAGGGGUAUGGGUUGCUUGCAACCCAGAGACCGGCGCACGGGUGCGUAACGCGUAUGCAACCUACCUUGAUCAGGGGGAUAGCCCGGAGAAAUCCGGAUUAACACCGCAUAACAUUGUGAUAUGGCAUCAUAUUAUAAUCAAAUAUUUAUAGGAUCGAGAUGGGCAUGCGUGACAUUAGUUAGUUGGUGAGGUAACGGCUCACCAAGACUUCGAUGUCUAGGGGAUCUGAGAGGAUGACCCCCCACACUGGUACUGAGACACGGACCAGACUCCUACGGGAGGCAGCAGUAAGGAAUAUUGGUCAAUGGGCGCAAGCCUGAACCAGCCAUGCCGCGUGCAGGAAGACGGCCCUACGGGUUGUAAACUGCUUUUGUACCGGAAUAAACCUGCUCUCGUGAGAGCAGCUGAACGUACGGUAAGAAUAAGGAUCGGCUAACUCCGUGCCAGCAGCCGCGGUAAUACGGAGGAUCCAAGCGUUAUCCGGAUUUAUUGGGUUUAAAGGGUGCGUAGGCGGCUUUUUAAGUCAGGGGUGAAAACUUGCGGCUCAACCGUAAGCUUGCCUUUGAUACUGAGGAGCUUGAAUACACUUGAGGUAGGCGGAAUGUGACAAGUAGCGGUGAAAUGCAUAGAUAUGUCACAGAACACCAAUUGCGAAGGCAGCUUACUAAAGUGAGAUUGACGCUGAGGCACGAAAGCGUGGGGAUCAAACAGGAUUAGAUACCCUGGUAGUCCACGCCCUAAACGAUGAAUACUCGAUGUUAGCGAUAUACA
rnacentral:rRNA from 1 species